GGGUUUGAUAAAGUUGAUUGCUUUAUCAAGAAAAAUACACAUGAGUUGUGAUAGAUAAUUAAUUAAAUUAACCCUACCUAUGAAUGAUAAGAUGGAACUAACUCUGUAUAAAAAUUAAGUAUGAAAUGAUGAAAGUAAUGGUAAACAUAGGGGUGCGAACUUCUGACACGACAUGAACCUAACACGAAAUUCACGGGUUUGGGUUUAGUCUAAACAGGUUCAGGUCAGUUUCAGGUUGAACCCGCAAACCCGUUUAGCUAAACAGGCCGGGUCCGUGUCAACCCGAUCGGGUUGGCGGGUUGACCCGUUUAACCCAUUUGUAUUAUAUUUAUUUUUAACAAUAUGUUUUAUGUCAUAUAUUAAAUUGGGUGUGUAUUUUAUUCCAUAAUUAAAAAGAGAAGUUGACAUAAGAUUUUCUAAAUUAUAUGUAAUUGCAUUGUGUACAUUUGUGUUUUUUAGUAAAAAUUUUAAUUUUAAUAUAAUAAUUUGCGAAAAAAAAAAUUAAAAAAAAAUAAAAAACUUCGGGUUGAACGGAUCAUGUUCGGGUCAACCCGCGAAUAAUCGGGUCGUGUUCAGGUUCAUCUAAAAUUUUAAUUUUCGGAUCUGGUUGAACCCGCCAGGCGCCAACACGCAAACACGACUCAUUUAGCACCCCUAGGUAAUCACUAGUAUAUCUAAAUUUAAUUAAACAAGAAAAACAGGAAUAAAAAUCUUGACUCGAAUGCAAUUGAAGACAAGAUUUCAUCCAUAUGCUUCUAGGGUUUUGGUAUUCUAUCCCUCUAAGGCCUCAUCACCAACCAUUAUAUAGAAAGUGUGGAAGUAAAUACGCAGAUAUUACGCAUAGGAUCCGGCCCCUUUUCAACAAACUUGAAUUAAACUUUUCCUCAUAAAUUAAGAAAAUUAAAGACCAAAUUUAUUGUUUAUAACAAUAAUAAUCUUAUACAAACACUACACCUAUCUUGGUUUAAACAAGCGCGCCUAAGGUGCGCCUAGGCGCGAGUCGCCAUCAGGCGCAUGCCUCAGCGCCUCAGCCUACACAAGGUGCAAGUUUUACAAAAAGCGCACACGAGGCCCCUUUUUUUGGCAAAAGGUUAACCCUGAGGCACGUGCCUCAUGUAUUUCCAUCAUUUUUGUGCGGUAGAUUGUUGUAAAACAUGCUUUUCAGGUUGUAGAUGUAUAUAAAUUUAAUUUGAAAUCAUAUAUAAAGCUUAUUUGUGUCUAAAUAUUGGGCAAAUGAUGCUAGAAACCUAUAGGAAAUAUAUAAAACGUUAUAUAAUUAUUUGAACCUUGGGCACGAAAAGUGGGGCCCUUUUGCUCUUGCCGUUUCGGGCCUUGGUUUUAGACCUUGUUGCUUUUGUGCCUUUCUCUCUUUAUAAAACCAAGACAACUACAAAUUUAUUUAAAAAAAAAUAGUUCAUGACAAAAUGAACCUUAACUAUUGUUUACCUGGUUUUGAAAAGCGAGAGGAGCACCGAGGCGAUAGAGUCCCUAGCCAAGGUGCAAGGCGCUAAAGCACGCCGCUUCAAAUUUCUGCGCACGGUAUUUAUAUAAACUUCCUUAUAUUUUGCAUACGCUUCUAUGGCACCUACCCAAAACAUAGGUACAAAUAAGCUCUGUAUAUGAUACUUUUAUAUACGUAACCUAUAUGUACAACAUCCUAAUGCACAAAAUCUUCCAUGAGGCGCACCUCAUACAUGCGCCUCAUGACCACCGAUCGCCACCGGCAGUCAGAAGCUCAAGGACUUGUGCCUGAGUGUGCCUCUCGCCAAGGGCAAACUUUUUAAAACUAAGUUUGUCGGCGGCAAUACCGACUACCACGAUGGUUUUCUGGGGUUUCAAUUGCAUGUUGCAUGCAAACCAUAUGGUUCUACUAUGAAUGUAAACCAUAUGGUCGUAUGGCUAUUACAAGAAGCAAUUUGUGGUGGUUGCUGAGUUCUCGUCGAGCAAGUUGUUUCUGAUAGGGUAUGGUGAUACGUGAAGAUAACAAAAAAGACAAAUUAAUGGAGGUUCCGUCCUUAUUUCUUCCGAGUGUUGGAUUUUCACACAACCUAGAUUUAUUGACAAUCUACACAUACAAUG
rnacentral:lncRNA from 1 species